AUGAGACUGCUUGGUCUUCUCCUGUGCCUGGUGACAGGUCCCCUUGAUGUCUUGGCUCACGUGCAGCUGCAGGAGUCUGGACCUGGCCUGGUGAAGCCCUCACAGACCCUGUCCCUCACCUGCUCAAUCUCUGGGUUCUCCAUUCCAUCCAGUGGUUACUACUGGAGCUGGAUCUGCCAAUCCCCAGGAAAGAGCCUGGAAUGGAUGGGGGACAUAACUUACAGAGGUAGCACUGUUUACAGCCCGUCCCUCAAGAGUCGCAUCUCCAUCUCCAGAGACACAGCCAAGAACCAGUUGUCUCUGCAGCUGAACUCCGUCACCAUGGACGACACGGCCACAUAUUACUGUGCAAGAGACACAGUGAUUUGA